UAGCGCGCAUGCGCGUUUCGAAGAGGGUAGUUAUGACGCGCGUGCGCAUUGGGAAAUACGGCGCCUUUGGAAAUACGGAAUUUGGCUGGCUGUCUCGGCAGGAUCGGCGGCUCCGCCGUGCCCGGGGUGCUGCUCACAUGUUCUCUCUUCUCCACGGCUGCGAGAGCUCCCUCACGUCCAGCCGUGGUUUUUUUGGGAGCAGAAGGACCCAAAACCUGCCAGGUUUUCUCCUCUGAGCUCCUUUGGGACGUGCGUGGAGAGGGAUGGCGGCUGGGAAAGGAAUUCCUUUCUGUUUGUCCUCAUGGAUCAUGAGUGGUGUUUGGAAAGGAGGUUGGUCAACAAGGAAGGAAAAAUUGCACCAGUACUUGCUUGGGCUGAAAUAUUUCCCUAAAUAAGUUUUGGCACUUUGGAGGGUCGUCUCUGCUGGGAUGAGUGGCUUGGCCAGAGUGGAAAGAGGGUGAACACCAAACCUGAGGCCUGCUGGAGCUGAUGGACAAUUGACACCUGGAUUCAGCUGUGAGAGGUUGGAACAUUCUUGAGAGAAGAAAGAAAAAGGAGUCAUCUGAGGCUAUGAUGCAGGAAAACUUUAUUGAGGCAAAAAAAAAAAAAAAAGUAAAAAGCAGGAGAAGUAAAUAGAAUGGAGCGGGUCUGAGGUGCAGUAGGACAAAUAUCAGCGCAGAUCCUUUGAUUGCAGCAGGUCUGGCCAGAGCAUCAGGGAUUUCCUGCCCCACAGUGGGAGCAGCCCAGCAGAGCUGCCCGAGGGUCUCUGGCUUGGGAGAAGGGGUUUGUCCAAAGGGACUGGACAGAGUCGAAGGGGCGAUGCAGAGCAGGGAGCAGGAGAAGAGGAGGAGGCAGAUGGGCCAUGUUUGGGGACAGCCCAGGCUGGCCCCGUGCCUGCUGCCUUGCUUGCUGGCCUGAGAGCAGAGCUGGAAGUGCUGAGUCCAUUUGAGAGCCUUGGCCCAGAGAUGCAUCCUCAAUGCCUGAGAUGAGUUCCAGGGAGUGGGUGGUUGGUGUCAGGGAUGGUGCUGAGGGCUCUUAGCAGAUGUAGCCGCCCCUUCUGCCAUAGCAGUCCAGGCCUCCCAGCCCAUAGCCAAAUCCACGGCCAUAGCCAAGGCCAUAGCCAAAGCCACCAAAGCCACCAGAGAUGGGCUGUCCCUGCACGCUGAGCUCAGUGCCCACGGCAGCUGAGGAGGUGGAUCCGACGGCGGUGUUCUGGGGGA